GAUGAACGCUGGCGGCGUGCCUAAUACAUGCAAGUCGAGCGAACAGAUAAGGAGCUUGCUCCUUUGACGUUAGCGGCGGACGGGUGAGUAACACGUGGGUAACCUACCUAUAAGACUGGGAUAACUUCGGGAAACCGGAGCUAAUACCGGAUAAUAUUUCGAACCGCAUGGUUCGAUAGUGAAAGAUGGUUUUGCUAUCACUUAUAGAUGGACCCGCGCCGUAUUAGCUAGUUGGUAAGGUAACGGCUUACCAAGGCGACGAUACGUAGCCGACCUGAGAGGGUGAUCGGCCACACUGGAACUGAGACACGGUCCAGACUCCUACGGGAGGCAGCAGUAGGGAAUCUUCCGCAAUGGGCGAAAGCCUGACGGAGCAACGCCGCGUGAGUGAUGAAGGUCUUCGGAUCGUAAAACUCUGUUAUUAGGGAAGAACAUACGUGUAAGUAACUGUGCACGUCUUGACGGUACCUAAUCAGAAAGCCACGGCUAACUACGUG
rnacentral:rRNA from 1 species